rnacentral:SRP_RNA from 1 species
AAGGAGCCUUUUUACAUAUUUUUUUCAGUGAAACCUGGUCAGGUCGGGAACGAAGCAGCCAUAAUUGUUAAAAAUAGUGUUAAAUCAAGGCUCCUAAAG